GAACGAACGCUGGCGGCAUGCCUAACACAGGCAAGUCGAACGAGACCUUCGGGUCUAGUGGCGCACGGGUGCGUAACGCGUGGGAACCUGCCCUGAGGUUCGGAAUAACUCCCCGAAAGGGGUGCUAAUACCGGAUAAUGUCUUCGGACCAAAGAUUUAUCGCCUUUGGAUGGGCCCGCGUUGGAUUAGCUAGUUGGUAGGGUAAAAGCCUACCAAGGCGACGAUCCAUAGCUGGUCUGAGAGGAUGAUCAGCCACACUGGGACUGGGACCCGGCCCAGACUCCUACGGGAGGCAGCAGUGGGGAAUAGUGGACCAUGGGCGAAGGCCUGAUCCAGCAAUGCCGCGUGAGUGAUGAAGGCCUUAGGGUUGUAAAGCUCUUUUACCCGGGAUGAUAAUGACGGUACCGGGAGAAUAAGCUCCGGCUAACUCCGUG
rnacentral:rRNA from 1 species